UACAGAGGGUGCGAGCGUUAAUCGGAAUUACUGGGCGUAAAGCGCGCGUAGGCGGUUCGGCAAGUCGGGUGUGAAAUCCCCGGGCUCAACCUGGGAAUUGCAUCCGAAACUGCCGGGCUAGAGUGUGGUAGAGGGAAGCGGAAUUCCGCAUGUAGCGGUGAAAUGCGUAGAUAUGCGGAGGAACACCAGUGGCGAAGGCGGCUUCCUGGACCAACACUGACGCUGAGGUGCGAAAGCGUGGGGAGCAAACAGGAUUAGAUACCCUAGUAGUCC
rnacentral:rRNA from 1 species